AGACGGCGCAGCCUGGAGGCUAGCGUGGGACACGAAGGCGUGGACUGAGCGGCGGGGCGGGGCCACCUCCGACGGGAGGUGGGGCCCUUUGCCCUCCUCACCCAUCCUUGAGGUGCGGCGCUUUUCCCAGUGGGCUUCGGUCUUCUUGCCGUUUUGAGUUCCUUUUAGCCCUCUGAGGUCGGAUUCUCUCUUCCCUGUUCCGGAACGAAGCGGGGAAUCUUUUUUUAACUCUGCAGGUGCUGAUGUUCACCCUUAAUCUUUUCACCCCUCCCAACUUUGUAAUAAUGGUAUUAAGGGUAACUGUUACCUAAAAAAAUUUUAACGAGAACCCUUUUGCCAGUAUAGUGGUAGGGAUGGCGACACAGACAGAGAUGGGCAUGACUGGACCUCGGGGCUCAGUUCGGGCUGGUCAGGUAACAAAAAAUCAACAAGCAGCCGGUUGUAAGAAUACCAUUCGCACUCAAAAACAAACCCUGUUAAAGUUGGAUUUAUUUUUCAGUUCUUCGAAUUGUUGUUCAUCAUGCAUCUUUUCGAGUCUAAAACAUCAGCAUGGUUUUGCAGUGGCUUUUUAAAUUGUAUCAUUUUCAUUAUUUCAUACGUACAAAUUGUCCUUACUUCUACUGAGCAGAAAUGCUGCUUUUUUUUCCUUGAAACCUGCUGUCUCAGGUCACCCUUAAUUUCCCUGUUUUUUGAUAGAGACAUGAGUACAGAGAAAUAUUUCCUUAUUAUGAAAAAAGCAACAGCAAAUGUGUUGAUAAAUGGCAACCGAAACUGUUUCGGCUAGAGGUUAUAGAGUUUGGUGGGGGAACUCUCCAUUUGGAUAGAAUAUAUUUGGUUUGAAGUUGUGAGGUGGUGCUCCGUUACAGCCAGUUGCUGUCUAGUUGGGAUUGGGCCCCUGUCUUAGAUAUUUAAGAGAAGCCGGAAAUCUGGACAUUAUGGACUAUUUCCAUUUUUAAAUAAUGGCUCAAAGUGAAGGCCAGACAAAGCAAGUCAUAGGCCAGGUGCAGUCCCAGGCCAAUAGUUUGCUAUCUUAGAUUUAAAUUAUAAACUCUUUAGAACAGGGGCUUACUUCGUUCAUUCUUGUCUCAGUGCCCAUAACAGAUCCCCUCACAUAUUUGGUAGUCAAAUGUGUUGAGUAAAAGAAAGAAGAAAUGGCCACUUACCUUAAAAAGUUAUUAGGGAUCAGGUAGUAGUGAUUGCCUAAAACAUUUCUAGAGAGAGAAGGAUGACAUUUAUUGAGCACCUGUUAUACGUCAUACAAGAAGUGCAUUAUCCCAUUUAAUGCUUCUACAAUCCUACUGAAAAAUUUCCCCAUCCCCUACUUUAUCUAAGGAAAGAGGCUGAGGAAAGUGAAGUCACUUACUCCAGACCAUAUAGCCAGUGAGUACAAAGCAGUGGCUUCUGAUGCAACUGUGAGUCGACCGAUUUGCUGUUUGAGCACACCCAUUCGUUUCUGUUGGGUAUUUUAGCUGCCUGUAUGAGAACUGGAGCGUGUUAAAAGGGGAAGCACAUCUUCCAGAUGUUUGAACCAUCUAAAGCACUUCUGUGACUUCCCUCAGUAUCUGUAGGGGAUUGAUUCCAGGAGCCCAUAAGUUUUCGAAAAUCUGCGUAUUCUCAAGUCCCAUGUACGUUAGUUGUAAUUUGAUAAGGCUUUUUGGAGAUGAUGACAUCUCCUUCCUAAUGAUUAAUGAAGAGGAAAAGGCAAGGAUGCUAAUAUUUAUUUUGAACUAUAUGCCAGACCUUUUAAUAUCCAUUAAGUAAAUUUUAUGAUGACCCUGUUGUGAAAUAGGCUUAUCCUCAUUUUACAGAUGAGGAACUGAAGCUCAAAUUGGCUAAGUCUCAGGUCACUCAGGUAUUAAUUAAAUUAGAAGAACUUCUGAAAUCAGUCUGCACCCAGACUCUUGUCACUCUAUGCUGAGAUUUUUUUCACCCAAUUCUUAAUUAUCCUGUGAUCAUGAUUUAUCUAUGUGGUUCAAUAGAAAUAUUUUGUUCUUGCCUCUUGGGGAGUGAUAGAAAUGUUAGCUUUCUUGAUUGUGGUGGUCAUUUCAUUGGUGUACACAUCUAUCAAAAUUCAUCAAAUUGUACAUUUGAAAUACGUGUAGUUUAGUGUACAGGAGUCAUACCACAAUAAAGGUGUUUAAAAAUAUUUUGUGCUGGAAGUCCAAAUUAAUAUCUGGACUCCAUGGCUAAUAUAUAAUAAUACUCCCUAAUUAUGUGGUGAUGUUUCUCCAGAGGGCUAGAGAGUUGCAAGAUUGGCUUUUGUCCUGAACUACUUGUAGCUAUGGACUUGCCAGAUGAAAGCCAGUGGGAUGAAACUACCUGCGGCCUGGCUGUUUGUCAGCAUCCACAAUGCUGGGCAACUAUUCGCCGGAUUGAGAGGGGCCAUCCUCGAAUUCUGGGCUCCUCCUGCAAGUCUCCUCUGAAUGCUGAAGACAGACUCCCAGUGCUCACUCUUGUAAACAUCGCAGAUUCCUGCUUCCAGGCCAGGAGACUUGCCCAUCAUCAUUUAUCAGAAUUUACCUUCACCAAGCCUCCCUCUUUAUUGCCUCAAGGUUCAAAGUUUGGCUCCAAAUUUCAAGGCAGGCCUUGGAAGGAUUUACCCAACAAAGACGUGAUAAACCGUACUAAUAGAUCUCCCAAACUGUCAGUGCUGAAUUUGAAUGAGACACAACUUCCCAGUGCUCAAGAUGUUAGAAAUAUGGUUGUAAUCUGGAUCCCAGAAGAACCAGAGAAGCAUGUGGGUCUUGCUGAGAAGAAGCAUAUUGUUACCAGCCAGGAUGGGAGGAUGAAAAGAAAGAAAUAUACAGAGAAAGACAAGUCAGCUCAGUUCUUCUAUGAAAACCAAAACACAGAAACGCAGUUGGGACCUCUAAGGACAAUUGUGUCUCCUCCCUCCCCAGUACACUUGUUUGAGCAACCGAGUUCGGAAUCUGCACCCUUGUGGAAGCGGUGUGACAUGUUACCUCAGGAUCUCCUGGAGGACCUCUUACUGGAUAAAGGGAAACCCAUACCUUAUCCAGAGAUGAAGACACAUUUGGCCAUGAUGAAAAAGAAACCUCCCCUGGAGAAGAGCCGCCCCGACAGUGCCAUUUCUGCUAGGAUGUGUUUAACUGUACACCGCCUCACCCUGCAGAGACCAGCAUUGCGAUACCCUGAACAUUUGAAGAAAUUCUAUUGUAAUCUGACAACAGAAGGUCGUAAGAGUAAGCAGCAGCGGCAGCAGCAGAGGAGGGUGAAGACAUCUACUAGGAAGCAGGAGGCUAAAAAGAAAUCCAAGAGUGAACCAGGGAGUCAUAAUGCUUCGCAGAAAUGUUCAGAUCACAGAAAUCUACCAGGUCGGGAAAGUUGCAAAAAGCAGCAGAAGCAGAUGAAGAUAGAAGGCCCCACCUUGAAACAGGUCACUCAUGCAGCUGCGUUCAGUUGGAGGCUGAGCUGGGGAUGUUGGCCAAAUUAUCUUAGUUCUCUUCCAUGAGGCCUCUCCAUGUGGCUUGCUUAGUCUUCUUGACAGUAAGUAAUCUCAUGAAAGCACUUUCUUAAGUGAUGGGCCUGGAACUGGAACAGUGUCACUUCUGCCACAUUUUAUUUGUCCAAAAAAAAAAAAUCACAAGUCCAGCCCAGAUUUAAGAGGAGAGGAAAUUGACUCCAUCCUCUUGUUGGAAAGAACAGUAUGUGCAUACAGGAAUGGGAGGAAUUAUUGGCAGCCACCUCUGGAGGCAGUCUACCCUUAGUUGACAGCUGCGAAUGGGGAAAACUGGAUUCUGGCUUCAUCUGGUCAGCCUGGAGGGUACAGAAUGUGUGACACCAGCUUCUCUUUUUAGUUUUGGGCAUUUCAGGAUUCCACAGAGAAACCACAGGUGGACUACUCUAAGAAACACCUGGAUUCGUUCCCCAGUAAGAAGAGUCCUGAAUUACCUAGAAUAGAACGUACUCACAAGGAUAUCAGGACUCAGAUGGAGGUUUUGC